AAAGGAGUCGAAAAGCUUGACUUCCUCUGUACAUCUGCACUUGACCUUCUUUUUCUUCAACAAUCGUUCUUGGUUGUGUCUCGGGAGGCUCUGCAAAACGAUUAUGAUCAGGUGAGUAGGAUCAUUUCAUUUUCUUUUUUUGUAGUUCUGUGAAUUGUUUCUGUGCUUGGUUCUGCAAAAUUGUUUUUGUUGAUAGAAUUUAGAUUGGUGAGUAGGAUCAUUUCAUUUUCUUUUUUUUGUAGUUCUGUGAAUUGUUUCUGUGCUUGGUUCUGCAAAAUUGUUUUUGUUGAUAGAAUUUAGAUUGGUUUAGAUUAGGGAAUACCUGUGAAGACUCUCUCUCACGCCCAUGUUUAGCGUGAAAUGGAUCCAAUACAAAGUGUGAUGAGAUCAGAAGCGAAUUUCCCGAUACAAUCUAUGACCCAUGAAACCAUUCCAAUGAGGAGGCAUGUGCCCCAUUGUGCACAAUUCAGCCUCGCACUGCCCCCAACCCAAUGCUCUAUCUCAAUGAAGGCUGCCUGCAACCCCAUAAUAACUACCACAGCCACCCAAAACCAGAGGUUCUUCUUGAUGCCCUGGAACAUGUUCUUCUUCUCCAGCUUUCUGCAAUUGAAUAGAUUGAACACCUGGCAGAUAACAAAACUGUUGAACACCAAGGAUUUAUUGACCUUGGGUCUGAUGCCUAGGAUGGCCUUCCCCUUGAAUUGGAUUGUCACUAAAAUGGCAACCUGGUAUGAGGCUUGAGUGAUUAUGUUUCUCCACAUGGCCCAGGUUAUCAGCUUUCCACCUUGUCCUACUGGUUGCUUGCCUAUUAGUUUCUCCGCUGGUGGCUCUGUCAACAGAGCCAAUCCCCCCGGGAUGCCCACAAUCACACUCCCGAAGGCGAGUUGAAUUGCAGUCACUGGGGCAUCCCCCAAAAGGCCCGUGCUGAUGGAGGUUAUCAGUAACGCUGCGAUGACCAUGGUGAGCUCAUGCUGGAUGUACUUCUGGACGUUUUCAUAUGCACACCUUCCGUGCCUCAUGAUGGUCUCCAGGACACUAAAAUUGCCAUCCAAGAUGACGAUAUCAGAAUUCCCUUUGGCCAUUUUGGUGCUCCAAGUCCCCAUUGUCACCCCUACAUCAGAAUGUUUUAUGGCCGGAGCCUCAUCUCUCCUGGCUCCAAUGACAGCUACCGUGUGGCCCUUUUGCUUCAAACACUCCACUAAAAGACUCUUGUCAGAGGGACGGGCGUUUCCCAUGAUGGAGAUUCGAUCUACCCUAUCCAUCCUCUCUUUAUCGGUGUAGUUCUGAAAUUCAUUACCAUCAAGAACCAGAGAAUUGGGGUCAAACAUACCACACUGAAUUGCUAUGUCUAGCAGCUCUGAAAUAUUGCCACUUGAGACCAUCUUGAUGUUAACCCCAGCAUUUCUACAAGCUUCCACAGCUUUUUUUGUCUCUGUCCAAUCUGUGUCCCUCAGACCCAAUAGUCCUAUCAAGAUAAAGCUGUUUUCUUCACUUGAUUCAUUAAUUUUCUUAUAGGCAAAUGCAAUGGUUUUGAGAUGUUUGGACUGCAUCUGCUCAAUAAAUUUUUCAAAAUCCAUCCUUUUCUCUCUUCCCAUGUCAUUUAUCCUCCCUUUACUGUCAUAGUAGAAUGAACACCGGGCCAGUAUAGUUGUUGCUGGUCCUUUCCAGUGCAAACAUGUAACUGUUUCAUUCUCUCUGUUCUUCCUCAUUAACACUAGACUUCUUUCCUCAUUGGAGUUCAGUUCUUUGGUUUCAACAAGGGUGCAACUCUGCUUUAAAAUUUCUUGUCUCAUGCCUAACUUCAAUGCAGCCCAUGAAAGGACCCCUUCCUCUUCUGAGCUGUAAGCAUUCUUUGGGUCCAGAACUGGUGUGUAGAUACCAUCACACAGAGCAUCAACUACAUCUGGGUCUAUGACAGAGUCGCCGUUGAUGUCUUCUUCACCAAUCCUGCACAUUUUCACUUGUAUUGGGCUCAAUGUUAGCCCACCAAUUUUGUCAGUGCAGAUGGUGGUUACUGAUCCCAUGGUUGCACGAGCCAAUAAUUCUGGCGCAAAGGCUUUUCCGGAUAGUGUUUUCUUAUUCCAAUAUCUGAGUGAAAGGGUAAUAAUAAAAGGAUAUCCUUCUGUUAUUCCCACUAGCAACAUAUGGAGUGAAGUUGUGAAGAUACUUAUCUUCCUAGUUGGUUGCAAAACAAUCCUCUUGACCGCAUCCAUCAAGUCCUUGGCUGUGGAUGGUUUUCCCUUCAUAGAUGGGAACCCUGGACUAUCAUCUUCCUUUUCAAGUUGAAGGCGCAGGAGCAGCUCUACAAGAAUGAGAAGACUGGUGAGAAGCCCAAUGAUUUCUGUCCUAGUGUUCAGCUUGUCGAGCUGAGCUUGUAAAGGUGUCUUCUUAGGAGCUUGGAUUACUUUACUCAUCAUCUUACCCCACUCUGUGUUCAUGCCAGCUGAUGUGACUAGCAUUCGACCAUUCCCGCGAAUCACUUUUGCUCCAUACAACAUAAAUGGGUUUUGGCCAUUAAUGAUGGACUCUGAAUGAUCAUCCAGUUCUAAGACUUCACCUGAUACAUACAAACCAUCAGCAGGAACCUGAUAUCCCCUUUUCAAAACUACUAUGUCACCCAUCACUAUGUCAGAGAUGGAAAGCUCCUGCUGGCAUCCCCCUCUGAAAACUUGGACCACUGUUUCAGUCAUUUUUAAGAGCUCUUUUUCUGACAACUUGUGUUGGCCUUCAUGCCAGAAAUCACGAAUUGAAUGACACACAACAAGUAUGAUGAUGGCAACAAGAAUAAUGAACCCUUCAUACCAACCAGUCUCUAGGCCUUCCGUUUUGAUCCAAUACCAGAGUGACAACACCAUGGACACCAAAAGGAGGACAAUCAUGUAGCUGUUGCAAGCCUUUAAGAGGCACUGAAAGAAGGUUUUUGUAGCUGGCUCUGUUUGUGAGAUUCCGCUGGCUAAGCGAUCGAAGAUCCUGCGCAUCACCCAGGAUCCCCUUCUCUAAGUCGGUGCCAAGAGCCUCUGCAAUCCCUUGGACACCUCCAAAGUCAAGUAGGGAACGCAAAUCCUUUUCCGUAACAAUUCUGGCAAUGUUGGGACAUUGGCGAUUUGCAUUAGUGCUACUGCAGACAUCAUAUUCAUCAGAAGGGAUAUCUAGAGAGACUUGAGGUGAUGGAGAUAAGCUUCUCACAGGUCCAUCUGGUUCUGAGUCCUGCAAAAUGGUAGGCAGCACAUUAUAAAGGAAUAUGGUGGCAGAGGGUUGGCCGUGUCCGUUCCAUGUGGGGUUGAGUUAAGGGAGCUUUUAAAAUCUGCUCAAUUUCAAUUCAAUCCGUUGAACAAUCCUUUAAAAAAAAUAUUUAUGAUGUGCAUCAAUAACCAAAUAACCCAACCCCUUUUUUCUCUCGCAGAACUAAAAAUGCCCACUGUGAAAACCCCAAACACAGUAUAACUGCAUAACAAAACAACUGUACAGUACAGGACACUCAAAAUGUAACCUGGCACUUCUGGCACCAUUUUGUUUGGGAGGAAGAAGAAUGGGAUGAACAUGUCCAAUGACAGUUUGGAGAAGGGGAAGUUCAAGGGUGGCAGUGAAGAGGGGCGGUAGCUGCUGGUGAGAGACGCCUACAAUAGCAGUGAUCAGGUCUGUGUUUUUCUUCUCAGAAUGGUUGUCAAGUCAAGCAAUAAUUAGUAAUUAAGUGGAAGUUUGUGAGGUAAAAUAUGUAGUGCUUCUGGAAUUCCAAUAGUUUGUAUUUCCUACUGAAAUGAGAAACAUACUUCAUGAUCGUCUCCAUCAGAGGUGCUGAGGUGGGCAUAAGAUGAAGCGGAAGAGAUUUCAACAGGAGCAAGGGACCUCCUUGGAUAACCUAAUAUUGAGAUGAAAGUCUGAUGUGCCUGUAGCAUCAAGAAAAUGCGGCGCCAUCUCCUGCUGGGUUUAUCGGCUGCGGUUAAGGGUGAAUCCUGAGCCUCCAGGUCCUCAUCAGCGGAGCCACAACUUUUGUUUGACAUGUGGGGUUGGACGGUAACGUGUUGGCACAGGGUGCUGACAAUCCAAAUAUAAAAGAAGAGGAAGAAGAAGAAGAAGAAGAAGUGGUUUAAGCAUCAUUAUAAUGCCGAACUGCCUAAAAUUGGAAAGGAAACAAAUAUAGUGCUAAUGAUAAUAAUGUACAUGUCUGAGUAGCGUCUUAUUGUUAUGAGGCUGAUAGUGAAGAAGUACUCACCUAUAUGGUAGUUGCAGGUGUUGGUCGCCGAGGUUGAUGUUGAUCGGCCUAAUUUACCGGCACUCCCUUUCUGGAGAAAUGGAUUGUAUAGAUGGAGAAUGUAGAGGUUGAGGGAUGUAGAAGUGGGGAGAGAACUCUUAUACAGCGAUGCCCACUUGAUCUAAAGACGUGUGGGAAAGGCCAGUGAAACUGCAGUGUAAUUACACUGCUACUGCGAAACAGGGAGGCAUCAUCCUGUACGGUGGCCAUGGGUGCUUGAAAAUCAACAAACACUCGUUUUGUACGCGGCUUGGCCUUCGAGAUGGACCAUGCAUGCAUUUCCUUGAAAAAAUGAGGAAGAUGGUAGGAACUACACAGCAUUUGACUAACAAAGAUUUUGCUUGGGGGCUAGUCCCAAAGGCAACUAUCUAUGCCGUGUUGGAUGGGGAUGCUCCUGUUGUAUCGAGGAGACAUGGAAUGCCCUCUGAGUCCACCUUAAUUACCUACCAGUUUCGAGUUAUGAGACUUGUGGUUGGGCCAACUCAGAAUGGCUCUGCUUACCCUUUAUACUGUAGGAAGCAAGACAUAUCUUUCCAUUUUAACCAUAUUCCAAGUAUGAAUAGAAGGAAGCCCUGUGAAGUUGCACUGAAAUUUACACGGCUACACAAGUGGCAUGGCCAAUGGGCUUCCUCAACAAGGACCUUUUUUAAAAAGAGUAUAUAUUAUUUUUAAAAUUAUUAUUAAAAAAUGCUUAUAUAAAAAAUAAAUAUAGAAACACAAGUAACUUAGCCCUUAGAUCAUAUUAUUUGUGAUACCUAAAAUAUUUUUUUUUGUACUUAGAUCACCUUUUUUAUUCUUAGAUCAUUUUUUUUUCUAUACAUUAGUACUUAUGUUACAUUUUCCGUAUUUUAAUGCCGAGGUCAAAUUCUUCAUACCCCAUUUUCAUUUUUUGCACUUAGAUUAUUAUUUUUAUACAUUUUUUUAUUAUUAUUUUAUUUGUGUAAAACUUCCAAGAUUUAGAUAAAUGAAUAAAAUAUGUGUGUAUAUAUAUAUUUAACAAUAUUAAAUCUAUUAUUUUGAUCCUAAUAUGUAUUUGUUGUAAAACAAAGUGAAAGGAGAAGGAAAAAGUAAGAAAAGAUAAUAGAAUGCAUGAAGAAAAUUAAAUAUUGAUUUUUAUUAGAGGUCUCUCAUUUUUAUAAGGAGUCACAAAGAGAUAAACAUCAUUACGGAUGAUCAUCCACAAGUUUCCACAAUACUACAAAUUCUCACAUUUUAUAACACUCUCUCUUAGAUGAUCAUAAGAAUAUGACAACUACCUCAUUAAAAACAUUGCUAGUAAAAUGAGACAAAACCUGGACGAAGGAAAAAAUGGUAUAGUAUAUCCAUAUUAGUAUUCUCCCCCUAAUGUAGACAUGAUUAUGAUUUUUUCAACAUUUCAAUUGGUAGAUCUCUCAAUCUUCGCAUUCUAAUGUCAUACCUUAACUUUUUCAAUGGGGUCGAAGGUAAUGUCUUUGUGAAUAGAUCUGCCAAAUUAUUGUAUGAUCAAAUUAGUUGAACAUCAAUCUCACAUUUCUCUUAGAGCUCGUGAGUAUAGAAAAAUUUAGGAGAGAUAUGAUUAGUUCUAUCACCUUUUAUGAAUUCUCCUUUAAUUUGUGCGAUACAAGUAGCAUUAUUUUCAUGUAACUUGGUUGCAUUACCUCUAAUGGAAGGUAGUCCACCUGUUUCUUGAAUAUGUUGAAUCAUUGACCUUAGUCAUAGACAUUCAUGAUUUGCUUCAUGAAUUACACAAAUUUCUGAAUGAUUUGAAGAUGUGGCAACCAUUGUCUGCUUGACUAAUCUCCAAGAUAUUGUUGUACCACCAUGAGUAAAGAUAUAUCCUACUUAAGAUCGAGCUUUAUGAGGAUCUGAAAGAUAUCCUACAUCUGCACAUCCAAUCAAUUAUGAUUUUGAUUCUUUUGAAUUAUAUAAGCUCAUAUCACUUGUUCCACGAAAGUAUCGUAAUAUAUGUUUAAUCUCAUUCCAAUGCUUUUUAAUUGGGAUAGAACUGUAUCUUGCUAGCAAGUUGAUAGAGAAUGUUAUGUCUGGUCUAGUCCAAUUAGUAAGAUAUAUUAGUGCACUGAUUGCACUAAGAUAUGGUACUUUUGGACCAAACAACUCUUCAUUUUCUCCUUUAAGACGAAAUGGGUCUUGGUUCACUUUAAGUGAACAAACAACCAUGAGGGAAUUGACUAGAUGUAAUUUGUCUAUAUAAAAUCGUUUUAAUACUUUCUCUAUAUAUAUCGAUUGAUGGACUAAUAUGUCAUUUGAACAAUACUCAAUUUGUAGGCCAAGACAAUAUCUUGUUUUCCCUAAAUCUUUCAUUUCAAAUUCCUUCUUUAAAUAAUUGGCUAUUUUUGUGGGCUCUUCAGGAGUCCCUAUAAGGUUUAAAUCAUCCACAUAUAUUGUAAUUACUAUAAGCCCGGUUUCUGAUUUCUUAAUAAAAACAUAUGAGCAAAUUGGAUUAUUCGCAUAUCAUUCUUUUAACAAAUACUCACUCAAACAAUUAUACCACAUGCAUUCAUAUUACUUUAAUUUGUAUAGAGAUCUUUGUAGUUUGAUUGAGUACAUGUUUCGAGGUUUUGGAUUAGUUGUUUUAGGCAAUUUGAAUCCUUUAGGGAUUUUCAUUUAUAUGUUAGUAUCUAUAGACCCAUAUAAAUAAGUUGUAACAACAUUCAUGAGAAGUAUAUCUAGUCAUUCAGAGACUUUUAAACUUAUCAAGUAUUGAAAUGUGAUUGUGUCCAUUAUAGGGAAAUAGGUUUCCUCAUAAUCUAUAUCAGGUCUUUGAAAGAAACCUUGAGCAACAAGUUGUGUUUUAUAUCUUAUGAUUUCAUCAUUCUCAUUUCACUUUCUCACAAAGACCCAUUUAUAUCCAAUAAACUUUAUGUUUCUAGGUGUUUGAACUACAUGUCCAAAUACAUCUCUGUAAACCCCUUUUGGUUGACCACCCCGAGAAGUAAAUUUUUUCUAUUUUUUUGGAGAAGUGAGGGACGACUACCAACUGCAUGUUGAGACGCAUGGCGAAGCAUGUCACCAACUCACCAUGGUGGUGGUUGGGAUAGAGACUUGCUGAGUAGAUGGGGAGCAGUGAGCUAGUAGAAGCUUGCAUGAAAAGAAAGAAAAAUGGAGAAUGAGAGAGGCUUAGCCAUGGAGUAGGAAGACUCAUUUAUAUCCAAUAAAAUUUAUGUUUCCAGGUGUUUGAACUACAUGUCCAAAUACAUCUCUAUAGACCCCUUUUGGCUAGCCACCCCGAGGAGUAAAAAUUUUCUAUUUUUUAAAGGAAUGGGGGAUAGCUACCAACUGCAUGUUGAGAUGCAUGGUGAAGCAUGUCACCAACUCACCAUGGUAGUGGUUGGGAUAGAGACUUGCUGAGUGGAUGGGGAGUAGGAAGCCGGUAGAAGCUUUCAUGAAAAGAAAGAGAAAUAGAGAAUGAGAGAGGCUUGAGGAAGAGAAGCAAAAAAAAAAAAAAAAAAAGGAGUGCUGGAAGACUUGAAGAGCUUGCUCGAGAGGAGUCUCGCCAGGUGUGUUUGAUGUUUCCAUUAGCUUCUAGAUUGCUUGUAUGUUUGCCAUUACUAAUUUUUUCUAUUUGAUUUUAUUAUUCAUACCGAUUUCGGAUUGAGGUUAUUGAGGCUCUGUUAUGACUUGCUCUGUUUCAUAUUGAUUGCUUUUCGUUUUGAAUUUGCUGGUAUUUGUUUUUUUUUACUACCAUAAACCCAUUAAAUGGUCAUGCAAUAUGGUUCAUUCGGACACCCAUUUUUUUCUAUGCCUGAUCUAUGUUCCUUUUCUCCUCCAAACUCACCUCCCAUCUCCAUACCCAUCACCUUCCCAUCAUCUACAACCCACACCCAAGCCCAUGCUAACGCCGACACUGGUGACACUAUGGAGACUGAAAGCCUUAUUCAAGCCAUUUUCUCAAAGUUCAGCGUUGGCGUCGACUUCUCGACACUACAAGAAGGUUGCAUAGUCGGUAUUCUAGCAUGGACAAGUCCUCGCGAUGCUUGCAGGAUGUCAACAGUUUCGCCUGAGUUCCUGCGGGCGACGAAGUCCAACGCUUUGUGGGAAAUGUUUCUACCAGCCAAUUAUCAGGAAAUCAUCGGCAGAUCAUCGAAGUCUUAUGCUCGGUUGGAUUUCUCCUCUAAGAAUGAUUUUUUUUUUCCCGACUCUGCAAUUUUCUUCUCUUGACCAACGAGAGUAAAAAAAAGUUUUUGGUUGAACAAAGAAAGUGGAACGGAGUGUUGCUGACAAGGAUAAUUAUGUGGACUAUACUCCUUUGAUACAAGAAUUAAGCAGAAAAAAGCUUAAUGGAAUGAAAUUUUAAAUAGUUCUUUUGGGCCUAAUAUUCAAACAGUUUCAAAACUCAUUGAUGUUUAUGGUGAGAUGAGACAUUUUGGUGAAGUUGCCAGAAUUUUUCAUCAGGUAAGUUCAAGGGAUUUCAACUUUAUGCAUGAAGUUUACUCAUUGGCUAUCUCUUGCUUUGGAAAUGGUGGAUAGCUUGAAAUGAUGGAAAAUGCAUCAAAGGAAAUGGUGGAAAUGCAUUUAUUAGAUAUUAUGGCUUUUUUGGUUCUUUGACAGAAAUGGAAGUUGCUUGUGACCAUCUUAAAAAUCUAGAAUCCUCAUAAAGAAAGAGGGAAUUAGGGCAAUUCCAUUUGCAUAUACGAAGGAAAAGAAAUAUUAUAGCAUUUAUUUAUUUAUUUAUUAAAAAAAAUAAAAUAAAUUUCAUCCUCAAAUAAUUUUCCAAAAUUCCAAUCUUCAAAACAUUAAUUUUCAAAUAAUCUUCAAAAUUCAAAAUUUCAAAACUUUAAUUUUUUUUUAAAAAAAAAACUUUAAUUCUCAAAUUUAAUUUUUCAAACUUUAAUUUUCAAAACUCCAAUUCUCAAAUAAUUUUUCAAAAUUCCAAUUUCUUUCAAAUUUAAUUUUCAAAAUUCGAUUUCUUAAAUUUAAUUUUCAAAACUCCAAUUCGCAAAUAAUUUUCAAAAUUCCAAUUUCUUUCAAAUUUAAUUUCCAAAACUCCAAAACUCCAAUUCUUAAAUUUAAUUUUCAAAACUCCAAUUCUCAAAUAAUUUUUCAAAAUUCCAAUUUCUUUCAAAUUUAAUUUCCAAAACUCCAAUUCUUAAAUUUAAUUUUCAAUGCUCCAAUUCUUAAAUAAUUUUCAAAAUUCCAAUCUAUUUCAAAUUUAAUUUCCAAAACUCCAAUUCUUAAAUUUAAUUUCCAAAACUCCAAUUCUCAAAUAAUUUUUCAAAAUUCAAAUUUCUUGCAAAUUUAAUUUCCAAAAGUCCAAAUCUUAAAUUUAAUUUUCAAAACUCCAAUUCUUAAAUAAUUUUCAAAAUUCCAAUUUCUUUCAAAUUUAAUUUCCAAAACUCCAAUUCUUAAAUUUAAUUUUCCUUACUCCAAUUCUUAAAUAAUUUUCAAAUUUCCAAUUUCUUUCAAAUUUAAUUUCCAAAACUUCAAUUCUUAAAUUUAAUUUUCAAAACUCCAAUUCUUAAAUAAUUUUCAAAUUUCCAAUUUCUUUCAAAUUUAAUUUCUAAAACUCCAAUUCUUAAAUUUAAUUUUUAAAACUCCAAACUCUCAAAAAAUUUUCAAAAUUCCAAUUCUUUCAAAUUUAAUUUCCAAAAUUCCAAGUCUUAAAUUUAAUUUUCAAAACUCCAAUUCUGAAAUUUAAUUUUUUAAAUUUAAUUUUCAAAACUCCAAUUCUCAAAUAAUUUUCAAAUUUCCAAUUUCUUUCAAAUUUAAUUUCAAAAAUUCCAAUCCUUAAAUUUAACUUUCAAGACUCCAAUUUUCAAAUAAUUUUUAAAAAUUUUAAUUUUUAAAUAAUUUUCAAAAUUCCAGUUUUCUUCAAAUAAUUUUAAGUCAUCAAUUUUUUGUAUUUCCUUAAGGUUUAAGGUCACUGAGAAUUUAUUUUUUUAAUAAACUCGUUGUCUUUUUCUUUCAGGCAAGCACCUUCACAAAUUUUCUCUGAUUUUAAAAUAAUUUUCUUGUUUUUCACUUUUUUUAAUAAGCAUGAAGACAAUUUUCAUAAUUCCAAAAUAAUGGAAUUUGUGGGAUUAAUUCAUGCAAGAUCAAUUAGCCUUUGGUGGGGGCCCUACAUAUGAAUUUUCUCUUCUGAUUGUCAACUGUUAUGCUUAAUGAAUAUUGUUUGAUCUUUGUCUUACCAUUUGAUAUGCAUGUGAUAAUUUUAUACUUGAGCUAACCUUGUUUCCAUGACAGUGCACUAUUACUUGCUGCUAAGGUACGAUCUCACUCUCACUUUGCCUAUUCUUACGCAUGAUUCGUUUUAUUAUUUGAUCAUUUUUUUUGUAUCAAUUGAUUUUCUAAUUAAUUGUCAUACUUAUCUCACCUUGUUUAGUAUAGACUCGUUUUUAGGGACUUAGAGGGGUGUUACAGUCUUUACCGUACCUUCCCAAUAAGUAACUUGACCCCGUACCUGACUUUGGUUUUCCACAAACUAUCUUUUGCAAAUAAGGAGUUACACUUAGGGUUUUCUUUCUUAUUUUGUUUUCCCUUUAAAAAAAAUUAAAAUAAGUGGCGACUCCAAGUUUUUUUUCUAAAAAUCAUAAUUUUUCACAAAUAAAUAAAUAAAAAGCGAAUCACACCAUCGAGCGGGAACACAUUGUGCGAAAAUACGGGGUCCACAAUCUCAUUUUGCUAACGAGUUUAGCUCUAUUUGGAUUGCUUCUUUCCAUUUUGACCAAUCAUUCAUUUUUCAACAUUCAUCCACAAUUUGUGGUUUUUGAACUUCAUCAUUUCUCAAGAUGUCCAUAACCACUUGGAAUGCAAAUAUAAUGUUUAUGAUAAUGUCACUAUGAUUCCUUGUUUCUACCAUGUGACUCAUUGAGAUCUUUUCAAUUCUAGAUACCGGUAUUUGAUCAAUUUGUGCCUCUUCGGGGGCUACCUAUUUGUCAAGUUGGGUUUCAUUAUUUGACUCUUUCAUAUUUGUGAACUCUUCAAAAGUACCAAGUUUUUCAUAUGUUGUUCAUUUUCUUUUUCUAAGAACUAAAUCCUUUUAGCCAAUAGGUCUACCAUGCUUCAGGCGUGUCUUAAAUUCACUUGCUAUGACAUUCUCCAAUUUUCAUUUAGGGACAUCAAUAUGUGUCGAGGCAUUCACAGUCGGUACUUGUGACUUUGUUAGUUUCUUUAUAUCUAUGAAAGCAUUAAGUAAUUGAUUUGCAAGUCCUUGUAAAUGAAUAAUCCUUUGAACUUCUAGUUCACACUGCCUUGUACAAGGAUCAAGAUGAGACAAAGAGGAUACAUACAAUGUAAUGUCUCACCAUUCUUUUGGAAUUGACUUGUCUCCCUUUGAUGGUGGGAAAACAUUUUCAUCAAAAUGACAAUAUGCAAAGCAAGCAGUAAAAACAUCACAUGUGAAUGAUUUAAGAUAAUGAAUAAUGGAAUGAGAAUUAAAACCAAUGUAUACACCAAGUCAAUGUUGAGAACCUAACUUGGAACAUUGAGAUAGAGUUAUGGGAACAUAGACAACACAACAAAAAAUAUGUGCCUAAAGUAAGUUGUAAAUGUGAGUAUUCAUGAUUAGUUGUAAGACGAAUUUGAAUUAAAAUGGCAGCAUGAAGAAUAGCAUGCCCCCAAGCAGACAAAGACAAUUUUGUUCUCAAGAGUAAUGGUUUUGCAAUCAGUUGCAAACGCUUAAUAAGAGAUUAAGCUAACCCAUUCUAAGUGUGGGUAUGAGCAACAUGAUAUUCAAUAUCAAUACCAACCAACAUACAAUAAUUAAGAAAUGUCUGAUAUGAGAAUUCACUAGCAUUAUCAAAACGAAUUGUCUUAAUAUGAUGAUUAGGGAAUUGCACUUUGAGUUGAAUUAUUUGAGCAAGUAAACUGGCGAAGGCAACAUUUCUAAUUGAAAGAAGACAAACGUGAGACCAACGAAUUGAUGCAUCAAUUAAAACCAUAAAAUAAUGAAAAAGUCCACUAGGUGGAUGAAUAAGUUCACAAAUAUCACCUUGAAUACGUUCUAGAAAGACUGGUGAUUCAUAUUCAACCUUGGUAAAUGAUGGUCUAACAAUUAAUUUGUCUUGUGAGUAAGUAACACAAUUGUAGUCAUUGGGCAUCAAAAUCUUCUAAUUCUUCAAGGGUUGCUCAAAAGAAUUGUUGAUGAUUGAUCGAUUGAUUUUUCGUCGUUUAUUGGAUCAAAACAAAAUUUAUAACCUAAUUCAACUAUGCUAAGGUAACUCUUGCCCGAUCAAAAAGGUUUUUUAGCAAAAGUUACGGUAGUAUAGCGGUCUUAGGUGUCAUCCACUAAGACAGAUUAUUCUCAGUAAUU
rnacentral:lncRNA from 1 species